GACGAACGCUGGCGGCGCGCUUAACACAUGCAAGUCGAGCGAAGCGGCGGGCGGGUGAGUAACACGUGAGUAACCUGCCUUAGUCAUUGGGAUAGCCUCGGGAAACCGGGAUUAAUAACAAAUGGUCUCAGAUGGACUCGCGUCCCAUUAGCUAGUUGGUGAGGUAACGGCCCACCAAAGCGACGACGGGUAGCCGGCCUGAGAGAGUGAACGGCGACAUUGGAACUGAGAAACGGUCCAAACUCUACGGAAGGCAGCAGUGGGGAAUAUUGCACAAUGGAGGGAACUAUGAUGCAGCUACGCCGCGUGAACGAAGAAGGCUUUCGAGUCGUAAAGUUCUUUUAUAUGGGAAGCGGUACCAUAAGAAAAAGCCCCGGCUAACUACGUGCCAGCAGCCGCGGUAAUAC
rnacentral:rRNA from 1 species